rnacentral:rRNA from 1 species
UACGGAGGGUGCAAGCGUUAUCCGGAUUCACUGGGUUUAAAGGGUGCGUAGGCGGGCAGGUAAGUCCGUGGUGAAAUCUCUGAGCUUAACUCAGAAACUGCCAUGGAUACUAUCUGUCUUGAAUAUUGUGGAGGUAAGCGGAAUAUGUCAUGUAGCAGGUGAAAUGCUUAGAUAUGACAUAGAACACCAAUUGCGAAGGCAGCUUGCUACACAGUUAUUGACGCUGAGGCACGAAAGCGUGGGGAUCAAACAGG